rnacentral:misc_RNA from 1 species
AAGUCGUAACAAGGUCUCCGUGGGUGAACCUGCGGAGGGAUCAUUACCGAGUGAGGGCCCCGCCCGGACCUCCCAACCCUUUGUGAACACAACUCGUUGCUUCGGGGCGACCCUGCCGUCUCGGCACCGGCGCCCCCGGAGGACACCCAACCCUACAUCCAUGCGUCGGAGCGAUUUUGUAAAUCAAUACAAAA